rnacentral:lncRNA from 1 species
ACGCAUGUCUGUGACAGGCGUUCGGGGUCCCGUGACUCUGAACAAGCAUGACACGCUGUCAGGUUGGAGGAGUCGAGCCCACAGCCCCAGCUGCAACAGAAAGAGACCCACGCCGCCCUGGACCCCAGAUGAAGCUGCCUCAGGUAGGUCCCGUUGAUGAGCUCUGUGUUGGGAGGGCCCAGCGUCCUCUACCCAUGAUCUGCCCUGGAGACGUGUACCAGGAGCCUGAUGCCAGGCCACGGCCCUGAGGUCAAGUGAGUCCACACUCCCUGGGCCUGAGGUGGCCGAUUGUGAGCUGGACUUUCUUGAGAAUUCAAAGUCUCAGCCCUCACAAGUCCCCAGGUCAAAGAUCCCCCUCAGGUGGGGACUGGCUUCCCAGAAGCCUCCA